AAUCUGUUCCGGUACCAGUGCACGGCACCUAGAGCCCCGAUGAAGUACAUACUGGUGACGGGAGGGAUCAUCUCUGGAGUGGGCAAAGGGAUCAUUGCAAGUAGCGUCGGUACCAUCCUGAAGCCCUGCGCCUGCGAGUGACUGCUAAUAAGAUCAACCCCUGUAUUAAUAUCAAUGCUGAACUUUCCCUCCCUAUGAGCAUGGAAAAAAAGAAAUGGCUUGGAAGAUAGCAAAGAUGACUGAAAAUGAUGUCUUGCAGCAGGCACAGUGGAGUCCUUCUCCAGAGAAAUCUACAAAGAUAUGAUAAUGUAAGGAAGCCCGGCCGAAUGCAUCUCCCCUAUCUGCUCCAGGAUAUUUGCUCGUGGAUUCAGACUUGCAGAAGAAGAAGCAAUGUAACUUGUGCAGCUGGGCUCGGGGGUCCCGGAACAAGAUCAAGAGGAAAGAAAGCCUCCCCUCAGAUCCCUCCCACAGGUCUGCUAUCCCUUGCAUUAUUACCUUCCCAGACUUUGCACAAGUGCACAUUGCAUUUGUUAUUAUAUAGGCUUUUGUUGUCCACUCCCUUUAGUGGUGGCUGAACUCAAGCCCUCAUUAGCUCACUUAUAUAGCGGAGCUGCAGUACAGUAACUAAUGGUGCGCCAUGGGAUGGGUGUUUAUAGGUUCAUACAUAAGUCUGGUGUAGUCCUUACAGUUACAGAGUUCUCUGUAUUAUAAAUGUGCAGAAGCCCAAAACCAUUUGUGUUGCUUCCCUGACACUGAGUGCUAUCUGGUCCCAACUGGCUCACUUCUUAUUCCUAAACACAGGAGAUUGGCUAAAGCUUUUGGUUUUUAUUUGGGACACUAGAAGCAUCACUGUGGCUCUUGGGAACCUUUCAAAGUCACACUAGUUUUAGACCUACCCAGAGCAUUAGUAAUAUUAGUCUAUUCAGUUACAUCUUCACUUGUAUGUAGAAACAUCCCCACACAUUUGCAUGUAGCCCUUAUACAGGUAUGGGAUCCC